GGCUCUAUGGUGCAGCGGCUAGCACAUCUGACACUUACACGCUGGGCGGAGUUUAUUCGUCAGAAUAUCAGCUUUGGCUUGGUUUGGUCACGUGUGUCACAGGCCACGUCCUUGACAGUUCUUCGGAGCUGUCGAGCAUCUUAACCAUUACGCUCGUGAGUUCAGAAGAUGUAUGUUCGAUUCAUACUGGGGCCA